rnacentral:lncRNA from 1 species
CUAGAUCUUGGUAAGUUUAUCUAGUGUUUUGCUUAACACAUGCAUAAAGACCUAGACUUAGCUUUAUUUCCUCCAAUGCUUACCAUAAUGACCUAGACUUAGCUUCUUCUCCUCCAAAAUGACUUAAUAAGCUUACUGACCUCCAAAACCAUCCAUUUUACCUAAGUUAGCUCUAAAACGAUCUGUACUUAGCUUACUUAUGUCAAAAAUUGCAUAAUUAGCUUAGUUAGCUCAUAGACGAUCCAUUUUACCUAAGUUAGCUCUAAAAUGACCCAUUUUACCUAGGUUAGCUUAUAAAUGAUCCAGUUCAUCCAAGUUAGCUCAAAAAUGACCCAUUUUACCUAGAUUAGCUCCUAAAUGAUCCAUUUUACCUACGUUAGCUUUAAAAUGACCCAUUUCACCUAGGUUAACUCCAAAAUGACCCAUCUUACCUAGGUUAUCUCAUAAACGAUCCAUUUCAACUAAUUUAGCUCAUAAACGAUCCAUUUCACCAAGUUAGCUAAAAAACGAUCCAUUUCACCUAAAUUAGCUCUUAAAUGAUCCAUUUCACCUAAGUUAGCUCAAAAAGAUCCAUUUCAACUAAAUUAGCUCAUAAAUGAUCCAUUUCACCUAAGUUGGCUCAAAAACGAUCCAUUUCAACUAAGUUAGCUCAUAAAUGAUCCAUUUCACCUAAGUUAGCUAAAAGCGAUCCAUUUCACCUUACUUACCUCAAAAACGAUCCAUUUGACCUUAGUUAGCUCAUAAACGACCCAUUUCAACUAAGUUAGCUCAUAAAUGAUCCAUUUCACCUUAGCUAGCUCAUAAACGACCCAUUCAACUUAGUUAGCUCAUAUAUGAUCCAUUUCAUGUAAGUUAGCUCAUAAAUGACAUACUCUUCUUGUUCUAGUCUUCUUCUUGUUCUACUCUUCUUGUUCUAGUCUUCUUCUUGUUCUAGUCUUCUUCUUGUUCUAGUCUUCUUCUUGUUCUACUCUUCUUGUUCUAACUUUCUUAUUUUUCAUUUUGCAGAUUUCAUUCACUUGACGAAAGCUUGCAUAGAUGGAGUGCUCCUUAUCCCUUUCUCUGUUUCUUUUGUAUUGUUGAACUAUGCAUGUAUCGUUGGAUGAAACUAUUGUAAUAUAUAUGGUUGGAUGCCUCUAUGUUGAACUUGUUAUGUAUGAUGGAACUAUGCAUGUAAUAUAUAUGGUUGGAUGAUGAAGUUAUGUAUUGGAUAUCUUAUAU